rnacentral:rRNA from 1 species
AUGUUAAUUGUGGUUACAUUCAUAAGUAGCUUGGUCCAUCUUUAUUCCAUUUCAUAUAUGUCUGAGGAUGCGCAUAGCCCUCGAUUUAUGUGUUAUUUAUCCAUUUUUACUUUUUUUAUGCCAACGUUGGUGACUGGAGAUAACUUUCUUCAAUUAUUCCUGGGAUGGGAGGGAGUAGGUCUUGCUUCAUAUUUGUUAAUUCAUUUCCGGUUUAGAUGA